rnacentral:rRNA from 1 species
GACGAACGCUGGCGGCGUGCUUAACACAUGCAAGUCGAACGGAAAGGCCCUGCUUUUGUGGGGUGCUCGAGUGGCGAACGGGUGAGUAACACGUGAGUAACCUGCCCUUGACUUUGGGAUAACUUCAGGAGACUGGGGCUAAUACCGGAUAGGAGCUCCUGCUGCAUGGUGGGGGUUGGAAAGUUUCGGCGGUUGGGGAUGGACUCGCGGCUUAUCCGCUUGUUGGUGGGGUAGUGGCUUACCAAGGCUUUGACGGGUAGCCGGCCUGAGAGGGUGACCGGCCACAUUGGGACUGAGAUACGGCCCAGACUCCUACGGGAGGCAGCAGUGGGGAAUAUUGCACAAUGGGCGGAAGCCUGAUGCAGCAACGCCGCGUGCGGGAUGACGGCCUUCGGGUUGUAAACCGCUUUCGCCGGUGACGAAGCGUGAGUGACGGUAAUGGGUAAAGAAGCACCGGCUAACUACGUG